rnacentral:pre_miRNA from 1 species
AAUGGUAUUGUUUGGUUAUAUGGUAACUCUUUUUGAGGAACUGCUAGACUGUUUUCCAAAGUUGCUGUACCAUUUUACAUUCCUACCAGCAAU